UACGGGGGGGGCAAGCGUUGUUCGGAAUUACUGGGCGUAAAGGGCUCGUAGGCGGCCAACUAAGUCAGACGUGAAAUCCCUCGGCUUAACCGGGGAACUGCGUCUGAUACUGGAUGGCUUGAGAUUGGGAGAGGGGUGCGGAAUUCCAGGUGUAGCGGUGAAAUGCGUAGAUAUCUGGAGGAACACCGGUGGCGAAGGCGGCAUCCUGGACCAACACUGACGCUGAGGAGCGAAAGCCGGGGGAGCAAACGGG
rnacentral:rRNA from 1 species